rnacentral:rRNA from 1 species
UACAGAGGGGGCAGGCGUUGUUCGGAAUUACUGGGCGUAAAGGGCGCGUAGGCGGCCUUCUAAGUCAGACGUGAAAUCCCUCGGCUCAACCGGGGAACUGCGUCUGAUACUGGGAGGCUUGAAUCCGGGAGAGGAAUGCGGAAUUCCAGGUGUAGCGGUGAAAUGCGUAGAUAUCUGGAGGAACACCGGUGGCGAAGGCGGCAUUCUGGACCGGCAUUGACGCUGAGGCGCGAAAGCCAGGGGAGCAAACGGG